GUCUACAGCCAUGCCACUCGGAACAAGCCCAAUCCCGUCUGAUCUCGGAAGCUAAGCAGGGUCAGGCCUGGUUAGUUUUUGGAUUAGAGACCACCUAGGAAGACCAGGUGAUGUAGGUG
rnacentral:rRNA from 1 species